rnacentral:rRNA from 1 species
GACGAACGCUGGCGGCGUGCUUAACACAUGCAAGUCGAACGGAAAGGCCCUGCUUUUGUGGGGUGCUCGAUUGGCGAACGGGUGAGUAACACGUGAGUAACCUGCCCUUGACUUUGGGAUAACUUCAGGAAACUGGGGCUAAUACCGGAUAGGAGCUCCUGCUGCAUGGUGGGGGUUGGAAAGUUUCGGCGGUUGGGGAUGGACUCGCGGCUUAUCAGCUUGUUGGUGGGGUAGUGGCUUACCAAGGCUUUGACGGGUAGCCGGCCUGAGAGGGUGACCGGCGACAUUGGGACUGAGAUACGGCCCAGACUCCUACGGGAGGCAGCAGUGGGGAAUAUUGCACAAUGGGCGGAAGCCUGAUGCAGCAACGCCGCGUGCGGGAUGACGGCCUUCGGGUUGUAAACCGCUUUCGCCUGUGACGAAGCGUGAGUGACGGUAAUGAGUAAAGAAGCACCGGCUAACUACGUG